rnacentral:rRNA from 2 species
CCUGAUGACCAUAGCGAGGUGGCCCCACUCCUUCCCAUCCCGAACAGGACAGUGAAACGCCUCUGCGCCGAUGAUAGUGCGGAUUCCCGUGUGAAAGUAGGACAUCGUCAGGC